rnacentral:rRNA from 1 species
GACGAACGCUGGCGGCGUGCUUAACACAUGCAAGUCGAACGGAAAGGCCCUGCUUUUGUGGGGUGCUCGAGUGGCGAACGGGUGAGUAAAACGUGAGUAACCUGCCCUUGACUUUGGGAUAAAUUCAGGAAACUGGGGCUAAUACCGGGUAGGAGCUCCUGAUGCACGGGGGGGGAUGGAAAGAUUCGGCGGUUGGGGAUGGACUCGCGGCUUAUCAGCUUGUUGGUGGGGUAGGGGCUUCCCACGGCUUUGACGGGUAGCCGGCCUGAGAGGGUGACCAGCCACAUUGGGCCUGCGAUACGGCCCAGUCUCCUACGUGCGGCAGCAGUGGGGAAUAUUGCACAAUGGGCGGACGCCUGAUGCAGCAACGCCGCGUGCGGGAUGACGGCCUUCGGGUUGUAAACCGCUUUCGCCUGUGACGAAGCGUGAGUGACGGUAAUGGGUAAGGAAGCACCGGCUAACUACGUG